rnacentral:rRNA from 1 species
UACAGAGGGUGCGAGCGUUAAUCGGAAUUACUGGGCGUAAAGCGUGCGCAGGCGGUUAUGUAAGACAGGUGUGAAAUCCCCGGGCUUAACCUGGGAACUGCAUUUGUGACUGCAUAGCUAGAGUACGGUAGAGGGGGAUGGAAUUCCGCGUGUAGCAGUGAAAUGCGUAGAUAUGCGGAGGAACACCGAUGGCGAAGGCAAUCCCCUGGACCUGUACUGACGCUCAUGCACGAAAGCGUGGGGAGCAAACAGG